CAUGCAAGUCGAACGGUAACAGAAAGUGCUUGCACUUUGCUGACGAGUGGCGGACGGGUGAGUAAUGCUUGGGAAUUUGCCUUGAGGUGGGGGACAACAGUUGGAAACGACUGCUAAUACCGCAUAAUAGCUACGACUCAAAGGGGGCUCCGGCUCUCGCCUUUAGAGAAGCCCAAGUGGGAUUAGAUAGUUGGUGAGGUAAUGGCUCACCAAGUCAACGAUCCCUAGCUGGUCUGAGAGGAUGAUCAGCCACACUGGAACUGAGACACGGUCCAGACUCCUACGGGAGGCAGCAGUGGGGAAUAUUGCACAAUGGGCGCAAGCCUGAUGCAGCCAUGCCGCGUGUGUGAAGAAGGCCUUCGGGUUGUAAAGCACUUUCAGCGAGGAGGAAGGGUUAGUAGUUAAUACCUGCUAGCUUUGACGUUACUCGCAGAAGAAGCACCGGCUAACUCCGUGCCAGCAGCCGCGGUAAUACGGAGGGUGCGAGCGUUAAUCGGAAUUACUGGGCGUAAAGCGUACGCAGGCGGUUAGUUAAGUCAGAUGUGAAAGCCCCGGGCUCAACCUGGGAACUGCAUUUGAAACUGGCUAACUAGAGUGCGA
rnacentral:rRNA from 1 species